rnacentral:rRNA from 1 species
AACGAACGCUGGCGGCAUGCCUAACACAUGCAAGUCGAACGAGACCUUCGGGUCUAGUGGCGCACGGGUGCGUAACGCGUGGGAACCUGCCCUUAGGUUCGGAAUAACUCCCCGAAAGGGGUGCUAAUACCGGCUAAUGUCUUCGGACCAAAGAUUUAUCGCCUUUGGAUGGGCCCGCGUUGGAUUAGCUAGUUGGUAGGGUAAAAGCCUACCAAGGCGACGAUCCAUAGCUGGUCUGUGAGGAUGAGCAGCCACACUGGUACUGAGACACGGCCCAGACUCUUGCGCGAGGCAGCAGUGCGGGAUAUUGGACAAUGGGCGGAAGCAUGAUCGAGCAAGGCCGCGUGAGUGAUGAAGGCCUGAGGGUUGUAAAGCUCUUUUAUCCGGGAUGAUAAUGACAGUACCGGGAGAAUAAGCACCGGCUAACUCCGUG